rnacentral:rRNA from 1 species
CCUAACACAUGCAAGUCGAACGGUAACAGGAAACAGCUUGCUGUUUCGCUGACGAGUGGCGGACGGGUGAGUAAUGUCUGGGAAACUGCCUGAUGGAGGGGGAUAACUACUGGAAACGGUAGCUAAUACCGCAUAACGUCGCAAGACCAAAGAGGGGGACCUUCGGGCCUCUUGCCAUCAGAUGUGCCCAGAUGGGAUUAGCUAGUAGGUGGGGUAACGGCUCACCUAGGCGACGAUCCCUAGCUGGUCUGAGAGGAUGACCAGCCACACUGGAACUGAGACACGGUCCAGACUCCUACGGGAGGCAGCAGUGGGGAAUAUUGCACAAUGGGCGCAAGCCUGAUGCAGCCAUGCCGCGUGUAUGAAGAAGGCCUUCGGGUU